GAUGAACGCUGGCGGCGUGCCUAAUACAUGCAAGUCGAGCGAACAGACGAGGAGCUUGCUCCUCUGACGUUAGCGGCGGACGGGUGAGUAACACGUGGAUAACCUCCCUAUAAGACUGGGAUAACUUCGGGAAACCGGGGCUAAUACCGGAUAAUAUAUUGAACCGCAUGGUUCAAUAGUGAAAGAUGGUUUUGCUGUCACUUAUAGAUGGAUCCGAGCCGCAUUAGCUAGUUGGUAAGGUAACGGCUUACCACGGCAACGAUGCGUAGCCGACCCGGGAGGGUGAGCGGCCACACUGGAACUGAGACACGGUCCAGACUCCUACGGGAGGCAGCAGUAGGGAAUCUUCCGCGAUGGGCGAAAGCCUGACGGAGCAACGCCGCGUGAGUGAUGAAGGUCUUCGGAUCGUAAAACUCUGUUAUUAGGGAAGAACAAAUGUGUAAGUAACUAUGCACGUCUUGACGGUACCUAAUCAGAAAGCCACGGCUAACUACGUG
rnacentral:rRNA from 1 species